rnacentral:tRNA from 1 species
GACCGCUUAGCUCAGUGGUAGAGCGUCUCGUUUACACCGAGAAGGCCGCAGGUUCAAGUCCUGCAGCGGUCACCA